ensembl:lncRNA
GGCUGCAGUCCAAAGAGAGGCUGGUGCACUUGAAUGCUGCAUGUUCAUGUGACAAGAGCGUGGAAGGCGAGAGAAAAGUGCUGCAGGGGAGGGUCCAGACGGGAGACACCGAGCGGCCUGGCUCAUGUCCUCCGUGCUGGACCCCUGAGAACAGGAGCAGCCUCCAGUCAGCAGUGUCUCAGGAAAAGAGAGACUGGAGAGGACAGAGCAGGCAAUGGCUGUUCCCAAACUGGUGAAAGUGGGGGAAAGCUGCGUAGUUUAGUAGAUAUCCUGCCCCAGCAGUCCCUGCAUGGAAGAUAAAAUUGAAUCUGCCUAACUCUUAUCCAGAUAAAAUAAGGAAAGUCUGGAGAAAUAAUUAAGCCCGAGGCAGCUGUGGAUAAAAAGAAACUGCACAGGACAUGUCAGCAACACAGUGGAGGUGGGGCGACCCUGCAAGGCUACAGAGUCAAGAUCCAAGAGGUGUGUUAAGAUCCACAGAUCCCAUGGAUACUAGGACUUCCCCGGUGGUGCAGUGGUUAAGAAGGAUCCCUGGAAGGAUCCCACAUACAUGCUGCGGAGCAACUAGACCUGUACACCACAGCUACUGAACCUCUGCUCUGCAGCAACAGAAGCCAACGAAAUAAGGAGCCUGGGCACAGCAACAAGGAGUAGCCAUGGCUUGCUGAAACUGGAGAAAGCCCUCAUGCAGCAACGAAGACUCAGCACAGCCAAAAUCAAUCAACUAAUCAAAAAUAAGAGAGUGGAUACUGUGGAUCACUGUGCAGCAUGCAGGAUCUUAGUUCCCUGACCAGGGAUGAAACGCACACCCCUUGCUUUGGGGGUGCAGAUUCCUAACCACCAGUCUGCAAGAAAAGUCCCAAGAAAACUAUUUUAAAUGCCUUAUGUUGUUUCCUGGUGCAAAGAAGAUGGAGUACGCACAUUCCAUCAUCUUCCUCUCACAACUUACAACCAAAAUUGCUAUUCAAAACACAUGGCAUAACUAUCAGAAAAACCUCUCAAAAGGUGGAGAAAAGAAGGCAAACUGACUGGAGACUCAAGGGGUAACUCAGUGG